UGGGGAAUAUUGGACAAUGGGCGAAAGCCUGAUCCAGCCAUGCCGCGUGUGUGAAGAAGGUCUUCGGAUUGUAAAGCACUUUAAGUUGGGAGGAAGGGCAGUAAGUUAAUACCUUGCUGUUUUGACGUUACCAACAGAAUAAGCACCGGCUAACUUCGUGCCAGCAGCCGCGGUAAUACGAAGGGUGCAAGCGUUAAUCGGAAUUACUGGGCGUAAAGCGCGCGUAGGUGGUUCAGCAAGUUGGAUGUGAAAUCCCCGGGCUCAACCUGGGAACUGCAUCCAAAACUACUGAGCUAGAGUACGGUAGAGGGUGGUGGAAUUUCCUGUGUAGCGGUGAAAUGCGUAGAUAUAGGAAGGAACACCAGUGGCGAAGGCGACCACCUGGACUGAUACUGACACUGAGGUGCGAAAAGCGUGGGGAGCAAACAGGAUUAGAUACCCUGGUAGUCCACGCCGUAAACGAUGUCGACUAGCCGUUGGGAUCCUUGAGAUCUUAGUGGCGCAGCUAACGCGAUAAGUCGACCGCCUGGGGAGUACGGCCGCAAGGUUAAAACUC
rnacentral:rRNA from 1 species